UCACAAUCCACAUGGAUUUUAGUAGUUCCACAAGGCAGAGACUUCUGGCAGUGCUCAGGUGAAGAAAAUACAGACUUGUAGAUAACAGAGGUAAAGGCGUUAGGUUAUUUCUGUUCUGGCCAUGGUCCUUUAACCACUUCCUCUGCACAAGUACCACCCCACCCUCUGCCCAUUUUUUCCUUUCUCCUCCUACAGUUCUUACAUGCUUGGAACAUUGUGUUCUUGGAGGGCAACAACAGCAGAACUUCUUUGUCCCUGUUAAAAAAAAAAAUUAAGUGAAUGUAAAUCCGUGUCUUGAGCUGUUUGAUGCCCCGGUGCUUGCUUCCAGGCAUCUUGUGCGAGGGCAGAGCUCAUUCCCAGGGGACAACUUCAUGGUUUUCCCUGCAAGGACUGCUUAAAUCUAUAAGCAUUUACGGGAUCUGGUCUUUAUUCCAUCUUUGUCAUUCAGUGUUAGGGAGGCUCAAGAGCAAGCUGAGAGCACAACAGUGCUCCAUGACCCUUGGAGCAUGUUCAUCGCAGGUCCUUCAGCUCGCAGUGACCACCCCACAGCACCUCCUGCGCAAGCAGCCAGGUGUUCUGGGGUCCCUCUGGUGGCUUCAGGCCGUGCUAUGGGUGAUUCCAGCGGUCUGAGGGGGUGAGCAAGUGCUUCUGUCCUCAGGAACUGAGGUGGGAUGAGCACCCCAGCCAGUGGCUGACUAAUGAGGAUACUCAUAGCUUUGUUGUUGUUGCUCAGGCCUCUAAGCCAAGCAGCGCACCGCACCGCAGGAGCUCUCUGAGAGGGACUUGGGGUGCCAUGGGCACUGUGAGGUGGGCAAAGGGAGGAACUGUCACAGAAGGAAAUGGACAGUGGUUUCCAGUGUGCUGGAGAGGAUACGCAGAUGGCAGAAGUUUUACCAAAAGCAGGGAGGGUCCCUGGGAGCAGCGUGGAUGCUUAGGGGAGAGAGAUGGUGUGGAGCAGCUGCAAUAGGCAUAGGGGUCUUGGGGAAAGGAGCAUGGGCAGGCAGGCAUGUUGGGUUCAGUGGGAGGCUGCUGGAAUGUAACCUUUCAUUAAUAGGCAUCCCUUAAAUUAGGUCAGUUUAGACACAGUCAAGGUGUCUUCGGUUUACAGAGGAUUUUGAAAGUUACUUAAAAAAUAAGAAAUACAGCCAGAAAGCUCUUAAGGAGUAUGGGGGUCAGUGACAAUUGGACCCAGCAAUCCCAGCUCUCCCAGGCCAGCUAGCAAUGCUGCUGCAUACCCCACCAAGGGCAGGACAAGGCAGAAGGAGAAUAUGGGAGGCCAUAGUUCUACGUGUGAUUUAGUGCUUUCCCUGCCGCCUCUCUGCGAAAUGCUUCUCCUUCACAGAACUCUCAGGGGAGGAUGGGAACAGCGUUGUCUCACACCCUCAAUGGGAUGAUUUCUCUCUUCCCUAUCCCCCAUGUGACACAAGCAGGGAAAUUAAUAUUCCAAACCAUUGAGCCUGUUUGGUGAAUCUAGCACGUCAUUAUUUAAGAUGACUGUGAUUUUUUAAUUGUAUUUUUUUAAUUGACUCCAUCUAACUCAGCAUUUGAAAAACCUUGAAGAUCAUAUUAUGUGCACUAGCACAAUUAAUAUGUUUGUUGCGAGGACCCCAGUCAUAAAAUGUGUAUAUCCAAGGCCAUUGUGGAAUUAAGACUUAAGGUCAUUUAAGCGACUCUGCAUGUGAAUAAAUAACAUUCAGCCUCCUGAUGCCCAAAAAGUAUCCAGGCAAAGCCCACAGAAUCGAGGCUUUCAGCACAACACUGCCCUCUGGAGCAUUCUGAAUCACUCUCAUCACAAGCCAAACAAAGGACAUAAAGGAGAAAAAUAGAAAAAGGCCUUGGUCUCCAAUGUAAAAAUGAAUAGAACAGUGCAAUGAGUAAUGAAAGCAGCUAUACUGCAAAAGCAAUGGAAAUAUAAAGACAUUCAUCCCCGUCACAAAUACCAACAAACAUUUUUCAACAUUGAAUGGAAAGCAGAAAGAAAUUGAGAAUUUAGAACAGACCUGGAGAGAAUGGCACAUAAUAACAAAAAUGCUUUUUAAUUUUGCUCAGAGGUCUUGGCAGAAUUCUAACAAAGAAAAAUCAACAAGCUAUUGGGAAGGAAAAAAAUAAUUUGCUCUCUCAAAAAUCUAUUUUAGAUGCAGAUCUUUUACUGCUAGGCAUCCUUUCACAUUUUGGUAGUGUUUGUGUCAAUGCAAAUAUGAUAUGUUACCUUGUGCUGUCAAGAGCUUACCAAAAUAAACCUCAUCAACAAGGCAUUAAAUAAUAAUAUCACCUUUCCCUGAAAUUUUGAUAUUCUCUGUGAUGUACUUAUGCAUAUUUUUAAAAGAACAUAAAUUAUUGAUUCCUUCCUUCCAUCAAACCUGUCUAACCAGUGAAGUGUAUAUAGAAUGCAGUCCUGUACUAAGCUCUGUUAAAGAACAAUCUACAACACGUAAUUGAAAGCAUGGGCUUGACAGAAGUGAAUUUCUUGAAUUUAUUAAAGGCCUAAUCUUGCAAAUACAACCUAUAAGCAGCAACAGCUCAUCGUUGCUGAUCCUUCUGAUAGCAGAUAUUAUUGUCAAUAAUACAUGUGUGCAGAAUUGGAUUCAAGGAUGUAAGAACAACAUUCCAACACCAGCUUCCCAACACAGUAUGUUUCAGCUAAACAGAAUCAUGGAAAAGCUGAGGUUGGAAAAGACCUCUGGAGAUCAUCUAGUCCAAACACCAGCUCAAUGAAUGGUCAGGUAGAAGAGGUUGUUCAAGGCCACAUCCAAUCAGCUUCUGUGCUUGCAAGGCUGGAGAGUCCACAACCUGUUAGGGCAAUUUGCGCUAGUGUUUGACCACCCUCACAACGAAGAUUUUUCUUCUCUCAUUUUUACAAGGUAUUUUCUGUAUUCUGAUUUGUGCCUGUUCCCUCUCAUCCUGCCACUGAAGAUGGGAGGACCUGUCUUCUUUAUUUCCCCAACUGGGCAUUUAUUUGUGCCAAUAAGGACCCACUUUAAGCAGUCCGAGCUCAGCAGUCCCAGCCCUCAGCCUCUUCCCAUAUGUCAGGUGGACAAAGCCCUUAAUUUUCUUUGUGGUCCUUUGCUGGACUCACUCCAGUGUGGCUUUGUCCCUGUUGUACCAAGUGGUCCGGCACUGGACCCAGCACUCCAGAUGGAUCUUGUUGGCACUGAGCAGAGGGUAGGGAUGCCAGUGCUUGACCUGAUGACCAGAUGCUGUAGGCUUUCUUUGCCAGAGGGACACAUUGCUGGCCUGUGUUCAAUUUGGGGUCCACUAGGACCCCAAGGGCCUUUUCUGCAAAGCUGCUUUACAGGCAGCCCCCAGCCUGUGCCGAUGCAUGGGGCUAUUCCUCCCGAGAGGAAUUCAUAGUGCAAUUAAACAUCAUCAGGAUAGUAGCUGCCAAUGAAAUGAGCUGAAAUAAUGACUGGGGAAUAAAUGACUUGUGUUGCUGUAGUUGAAAGAAAGGUUAUUUGAAUACCAGUAGACUAAGGGGAAUGGAUUGCAACAAACAGAAAUGGCAAGAAAAGGGAAACAGCCAUCCCCUGUUGAGUGAACGUCUGAUCAUAGAAACAGAGCUCCUGGAUGAUUCACUUAGGGCUUGAUCUAGUAGCUGUUUAAGCCAGAGAGAUUUUCCCCAAGGUUUUGGGACACAGUGAAUGAAACCCAAAUGUAUCAUGAAGAAAGGAAGAAGUUGCAUAACAUUUUUUUUCUAUCCUGCUAAUAACAGGCAGGCAGCAGAGUAAGCUUCUACAAACAAUGGGAAAUUCUGAAGACAUCUCAUAAACUGAAUUUAGAAUACUAAAAUGUAAAAAUGCCAAGUACAGCUUUAGUUAGCCUCAGUGGUACCUCUGCAAUGCAAACAAUUAAUUAUGCACAUGAAUGUUUGCAAGACUGGUACAUAUAUGGGGAAGGAUAUUCAAAGUAAAUGAUAACACAUAUUCUAUUGUCCUCUCUUCAUUACUUAGGGAAUAAAAUCUAGUUUGGAUUUAAAUACGUUUGAGUGUUUUAUGGAGUUGACCACUGUGCAAAAACUGAAGAGGAUUGAUUAUACAUUUUAUCCUAUGAGGCUAGUUAUGCAAUAUUUACGCUAACAUUGCAGUAUAUAACAGAAAGUAACAGUUAUCAGACUUCAUCCGUAGUGCAAGUGUUUAAUAGUUUAAUAACAUGUUUAAUUUCACUUCAGAUCCAAACAGAUAACAUGGGAGCAGCUUGGCUGUGCAUGAAAAAGUCUCUUAAAGAUGGUUUUUCCCUUUAAAACUGACUUUUCCAAGCACAUGAAAUUUUAAAUUUAUGAGGCAGAAGCUGGAAUUCAAGUAACUUUUGCUCUUCGCUGUAAAAACUUGGAAUAAAAUGUUUUCAGAACAUGUGUCCUGGUUGGGUGUGAGAUAGGGUUUGAAUUUAGGGUAAUGGAUUAGGGCUGCUCUUGGAAGAUAAUUUAUGAAGCAAAUUUGUCCAUUCAUACCUUCCCAAAAGUAGAAGUAGAUCACAGAAAUCUGAGAUGUUUGUUUUUCAUUUCAAUAUUUUAUUAGAAAAUCUAAAUUUCUUAUACAGCAUUCAAAAGUUUACUUAAUUCACUCUUUAGUAAAUAAUUAAUCUUAAAACACUGGAUGGGAGGACAACCUGAUCUCUGUCCAAGGUGAAGAGCUCUUUGCCUCCCAUGCUCCCUGUGCAAAGCCCUGUAUAUUCCGUGUACAGAUGCACUGUAGGAAAGAUAAACUUCUUAUUUCUGAGUGUCCUUACAGAAAAAUAAAUAAAUAAAUAAAUGACAAAGUAGAAAACAGUGAUCAGAAAUCACCGUGGGACUUACUUUGUUUCUUUGCAUUGAUUAUACAAGUAUUUCUGUAUCAUCCAGACACAUUUUAGUGUACGACAACUUUUUUACUUGAGAUCUUUAGGAUGAUUUCUACUUUAAAUACCUUCAGAUAUAAAAUCUUUAAAGCAUUCAUUGAUAGUUUUGUAUGGCCAAAUUUGUCUUAAGUCAGGCUUUCUAAGUGAUAGCAUUGUUAUCAUCGUCUAAUCUUUAAAGGAGCUGAAGGUCUUGUCCUCAAGGAUAUCAGUUUAACUCCAGCUCUGUGUAUGUAUUUAGCUAACUCAGAGGACAUGAUAUGGCUCAUAGUGAUUAAUAACUAUGGUCUUCAGAAGCUGGCAUCUUCACUGAGGUCUACUGUAUAUCUAAUUGAAUUGGCCCCACUGAAUUUAAUCUUGAGAUCCCUAACACACAAAAGAAUUAAGUACAAUUUUAAGUAUAGUUAUUAAAUUAUACUUCAAUUUGACUAGGAAAUAUGGGCAUGCAACACUUCAGUGACAUGAGAUGAAAGAUUAAUAAUAACCCCAUACAAAACAACUUAAAACUUCAUAAAUAGAAUGGCAAUGUUUAGAAAAGAGAACAAUUAUUUAAAUAUUUACAAAAUACAGGCUAAGAGCAAGUCCUUAUUCAUUUUAAGUCCUCUGAUAUUAGUGAAAUCAAUAUACAGUUGGGGAUUGAGACUAUCAUCUAGGCACACUGCCAGCAAAGUGAAUGACUCUUUACCCUUGACUUCAGUAAUAUGAAGUAGAGAACCAAAAUGACUAUCGAGAUGCCUGUAAUUCAGACACUGGAAAGCCUGAAUAUAAGGCACAUAUGUCAUACAUGUUGAUUCAGUGGAGUGGCAACAUACCCUUAGAGGAUAUAUCAAAUUAACAAGAAGGGUGCGCCUACUCAGAGUUUGUAGACCUAGAACAUCUACAAACUAAACAAAGUAAAUAAAAGCUCACUAUUAAGAUACAGUGGGCACAGAAACCCUCUUCUGACCUUCAGCACCAGGAGGCUUUCCUGUCUAGUCAAGAUCCAGAACACAAAAUCCUCUCCUGAGGAUUUUAAAACAGGACUCUGGGAAUAAUUAGAGAUCUGAUAAUUUAAUCCCUCCUCAAGCUGAAGGAAUUCAAACCUUCAGUUGUUUCAUGCCACUGGACUACGACAUAAUCUGUUGAAAUGGAAUCAUUGUUUGAUCAGUGCUGUGAGACUGAUGAAAUCGAAAAGAAAGCAAACGUGGAGGAAGUUGAUGUUAUAGCCCAGUGAAUAUACCUCUUUGCUCAGAGGUAUUGCUUUCCUGAUAAACAGACUCCUGUAUUGUUGCUGAUAAUCUUGGACCAGUGUCUGCAACAAAAAGCAUUUAUGCUUCUAAAGAUUUACUCAAGAUACAAACUGACUAGCCUGGUAUUGAUAUCAGAGCAGAUAAAUGAACAAUCGGAAAAAAAUAAAAAUAAAAAUAAAAAAUCAAUUAUUCCUAAAAAUGGGAUUCGUGAUAGGACUAAGGAAUGGUUAAUGAAUGAUUAGUGCCAAUCAAAAAAGUUUUAAUUGACCUAUAAAUAGAGAUUUCAAUAUUUCUGAUUACAUUACAAAUGUAAUCAUUAAAAGCAAUAUUGAGGAUAUAACAUACUUAGACUUCUGUGCAUCAUUUGACCUAGACCUGUACAGCUUUCUGCUUAAGAAACAGAAUACAAAAAUAACUGAUUAAAGCUAUUGAAAACUAGGUAAGUGACUGAACUCAGCCUGAAACUGUAGUCUGGGAAUCUGCAUCAAAUAGGAUUUUUUUUAAUGGGGGCCUUCAAGGAUUUGUUCUUGGCCUCAGAUGAUUUCAUUUUUUUUUAUCAUUGACCUGGAAGAAAAAAAAAUCAUGACUGAGAAAGUUUACAGAAAUUGAAGAGGCAGUGAAUAAUGAGGCUGACAGAUCACUGAUACAAUUCAGAUUGUGCUUUUGACCAGGCACAAACAAACACUAUACAUCUUUCUUCAGCUGAAGCUGUUCUUGAAGAACAGGAACUGCAUGCUAACCAACAGUCAUUGCAAGGAUGACUUGAUGUCCUGGUAGAUAUCAGCCAGAUGUAGGCUUCUGGUGCACAAGUGUGGCUGAAGGAGCCAAAUGAAAUCCUUCAGUACACAAAUAAAGCAGUGUGAACAGUAGUAAAGGGGCUGUGUCACUCCACAUCGGGGACUGAUGUGACUGCCACCAGACAACUGUGACCAGUUUCUGUCCUGGUGAAUGCUGAAAAGCCGAUCAAGAUUUCGGGAAGCCCACAGCAGCACUUAAAAGAAAGUCAUGAAAACACUAUUUAGCUUGAAAGACUAAAAGGACUGUUUAUUUGGGGUUGCUGUUUAAUCCCAUCUGGGAAAGAAAAAAUCAUUUCGCUGAAAGAUCAGCCUGAUAUAGGCCAGCAGAAAGGCUGAUGAAACAGUGACUCUACCACAAGUCCUUUGUGGCUUGGUGGUAUGUGUGCAGAGAGGGUUAGGACUGUGGUGCCUCAGUGCUGGGCCCUGUUGGAGUUAGUGGUUCUGCACUUGUUCCUCUGGCAAAAGCUUAUAAGGACAGGCAGUCUGAAUUAAAGAAUGGAUCCCAUGACUCGGCUGCUGUCACUGCUCUGCAGUGCCAGGUGGACAAGAGGAAGAGAGAAGGUCAGGUUAGAUAAUCACCUUACAGUCUUGGUGCUUAUCUGAACCUUAUGUUUAUCAUAUCCUACCUUAAUCAUUUGUAUCAGCAGAACUAGUUUCUAGCCUCAUUAAAACAAAAUGUCCUAAAACAUUUAAUAUUUAUCACAUCUAGUCAAGCAACAAUUCCCGGGGAAACUGCAUUUUUCCAUUAUAUUUCAACACCAAGUCUAGAAGUGCACCAGCUUGCAAAAAUGAGGAUGGGGGAAAAUCCUAAUUAAAUUUUUCUAUUAAAAUAACUUAGUCCUUAGGGAGGACUAAGAGUGUUAAGGUGUGGACAACAGGUUAUUAUGACUAAAAGGGCAGAGCUGUCACCAUUUGUUAGCUUGUAAGUGACAAAAAUGCAAAAGAUAGCAUUUUUAAUGCAGUAACCCACUGAAAGCAACCCUGCUUUUACAGGGCAUUUCCCAUGCAGGCUGCCUUCCAAUCCAUGCAAGCCAGAUGAAAGUUUGAGCACUAAAUAUUACCAGGUGAAAUGAAUUUGCACAGUAAUUGACCUCCUGCAACAUGUCACUAAUACAGUGUCCUUUCCCCUGGCUGUGGCCUCUGAUAGAAGUUUUGGAAGAAUAUUAACCUGGCUGUAUAUUAUUUUCUGGUUCAUUAAAUAUAAUAGCAAUUCUGGCAAAGCUUUUUGUUGAUGAGAGAGGUUUGGCCUCCACAAGAAAACGUUGUCACAAUAGUAGAUGCUAUAUCCUUAUCUAAUUUACUUACAGCCAAUACAAUUUUGAACAGAGAUAUUAGAUGGCAAAACCACAAAGGAUAAUUUAUAAUUUGCAGCCUACAAAACUAUCUCAGCCCUCAACCACCUGCUUUGCCUCUAUUCCCAAACAUUCCUGCAAUCCCAGACACCUUUAAUGGGUUCUCUGUUGCAUAUCAGCCGUUGGCUCCUCUUCCUCUGCCAUUAGGACAAACUAUUUUGUUCUAAAGGUUUAAUUCUCCUUUGCCAACAGGAUUCUAAGGGAGGAAAAAGCUUCUCGUCCUUUUGGUGUUUUCACUCCCAUACUUCAGAAAGACCCUAUAAACAAAAGGGUCCAAAUGUAUGAUUUCAGUGUUUCAUCCAGUCUUAAAGCAUCUGCUGUUGCCCUCAAAGUAUCUCUCUCAGGCUGUUUGUCACUGUCCUGGUCUGACUGGCGGUGACAGUUCACCUUAUCACCCUGCAGAUAUUUACUCAGUAGUUCAAUGUAUUUUUCCCUGGCAUACUAAUAAAACACCUGCAUUUAUACAAGACCUUUUAUCCCAAAAGAUUUCAACGAGCUCUGCAAGUUAUAAAUUUACAGCAGUACUGUACAGGUAAUGUAGCUUUCAGUUCAGUACAAAAGGCAGUAUCCAAAAUCUGGAAAUCCUGGUAUUUUAACAAGUGACUGCUGAACACAGAAUUAAAGCAGAUGUUUGCACAUUUUGGAGGGUUAGUCUCAGGUACAGAGCUAGAUUAAAUUCCCUGCUGAACCCACACCCAAAAAACUCACUCAGGUUUCCUGGGGACUUUGGGUAAGGUGCUGGUGCCCAGAUCCACAAAGUAUCUUUUCACCUGACAUGGGACUUCUGUGGAGCCGAAGCAAUGAAUUUCAGCAGUGUAGGCCUCCAAGCUAUACCUGGCUCCUUAGUAAGGCUGUCAACACCUGCAUUUUUGUGUUUGUGGUGAUGAAAAAUUUUCAGUAAUACCAGUAUUUGGCAUACCCAGAAUCUCAGCCAUUGCCUGGACUGAAAAGUUUAAUGUUUAUUACAUGCCCUUACCCCGUCAAGACACACAUUAAGUGUCCCUACUUAAGUCCUUGUUAGGUCAACUCCAUGAAGCAGGCUUAGGUCAAGCUUAAGGCUGAGUGGCAGCAGUUUAGCUCAGUCUGGAUAGAGAGGCUGGAAGGAAAUUGCUGUGCCAUUGAGCAGAUCCGUAGAGGUGAAGGGCUGAGGAAGAAGGACCUUGAGUUGCAGUGCAGAAGACAUCCCCCCUCAGUCCAGACACACCAUUCAUGCCUCACCCAUUAAAAAAUAUAAAAAUAAAAAA